rnacentral:rRNA from 1 species
CGGCGGACGGGUGAGUAACGCGUAGGAAUCUACCCAGUAGCGGGGGAUAGCCAGUGGAAACGCUGAUUAAUACCGCAUACGCCCCACGGGGGAAAGGCCGGGAUCUUCGGACCGGUCACUAUUGGAGGAGCCUGCGUUGGAUUAGCUAGUUGGUGAGGUAAAGGCUCACCAAGGCCACGAUCCAUAGCUGGUCUGAGAGGACGAUCAGCCACACUGGAACUGAGACACGGUCCAGACUCCUACGGGAGGCAGCAGUAGGGAAUAUUGCACAAUGGGGGAAACCCUGAUGCAGCCAUGCCGCGUGUGUGAAGAAGGCCCUAGGGUUGUAAAGCACUUUCAGUAAGGAAGAAAAAGUUGGGCUAAUAACCCGAUCUUAUGACAUUACUUACAGAAGAAGAUCCGGCUAACUCCGUGCCAGCAGCCGCGGUAAU